rnacentral:rRNA from 1 species
GCGAAAGCAUUUGCCAAGAAUGUUUCCAUUAAUCAAGAACGAAAGUUAGAGGUUCGAAGGCGAUCAGAUACCGCCCUAGUUCUAACCAUAAACGAUGCCAGCUAGCGAUCCGGCUGUGUUCCUCAAAUGACACGCCGGGCAGCUUCCGGGAAACCAAAGCUUUUGGGUUCCGGGGGGAGUAUGGUUGCAAAGCUGAAACUUAAAGGAAUAGACGGAGGGGCACCACCAGGAAUGGAGCCUGCGGCUUAAUUUGACUCAACACGGGAAAACCUACCCGGCCCGGACACAGGAAGGAUUGACAGAUUAAGAGCUCUUUCUUGAUUCUGUGGGUGGUGGUGCAUGGCCGCUCUUAGUUCGUGGAGCGAUUUGUCUGGUUAAUUCCGAUAACGAACGAGACUCUAGCCUAUUAAAUAGCCGUUCCGAUCAUCGCCGUCGGACGGUCUUCUUAGAGGGAUAAACGGCGUUUAGCCGCACGAGACAGAGCAAUAGCAGGUCUGUGAUGCCCUUAGAUGUCCGGGGCCGCACGCGCGCUACACUGAAGGAAUCAGCGUGUGCUUUCCCUGUCCGAUAGGACUGGGUAACCCAUUGAAACUCUUUCGUGCUUGGGAUCGAAAAUUGUAAUUAUUUUUCUUGAACGAGGAAUUCCUAGUAAGCGCGAGUCAUUAGCUCGUGUUGACUAGGUCCCUGCCCCUUGUACUCACCGCCCGUCGCUAUUACCGAUAGAGUGAUUUAGUGAGGUCUUCGGACUGGCUCUCGGAGCGGCCUUCUGGUCACGCGCCGCGGUGCCGGAAAGAUGACCGAACUUGAUUACUUAGAGGAAAUAAAAGUCGUAACAAGGUUUCCGUAGGUGAACCUGCGGAAGGAUC